GACGGCGACAACGCCGGCUUCUCUUCCCCGCCCCGCGUCCUCCUCAACCUACCAUCCUGCCCCCGUCCGAUCCAUUUUUUUCCCCGGACGGUAAACCGGACUUGCUGUGCUGGCCGACGGAGCUACUGCCCUCCUCAAUGCCACCCCGUCCCAAGGACAUGUUCCCCUUCGCCAUGCUGCCAGUGAUGUGGUCAGCUGCCUUCUUCGACUAGGACCUCUCCUACAGCACCGCGACAACCAUCGGUGAGCACGCCAUGGCAGCGCAUCUUCUUGUCCCGUUCAUUGUCAACUCGAGCUCAAUGAUGUGCCCUGGAGCCCGGCACUAGAGGCGCGCUCUCGGACGGCAACCCCGACCUGUUGCUGCCACCUACCUCAGCGCCUGGAUCUCUGCACCAUAUCUCUGACGAGCGGCGUGCUGCUGAUGUCGCGCCCCCAGAGGAUCACCAGGACCCCUCCUCCAUGGACAGGCUCGCCAACACCACCAUCAAGUAGCUUGACGAGGUCACCUAUUGAGAUACGACAAUUGUAGGGUACCUGCUGAUGCUCUGCUGGCCUCCUCGAGCCCGGAACAAGUUUUACAAGGCUGGGAGCAUAAGAGGCUGCCGUCCGAUGCAUGACUGGAGGCUGGACGAAUAUGAAGAAUGCCUCAUAUUUGACCCUGGAGUGGCAGAGGAAGCGGGAGGCCAAGAUAUCAUGUAUUAGAGGCCUAUUCCAGUUCGUGCACAUCGACCAGUCCUUGAAGCCAGAACAAGUUUUACAAGGCUGGGAGCAUAAGAGGCUGCCGUCCGAUGCAUGACUGGAGGCUGGACGAGCAAGAACUAAAACCUGAAAAUCCUCUUGUUUGCGGAACCAAAAUUUGAAUCCUCAUGCACAUAUGACGAAUACCUCGUAUUUGAGGCUGCACUGGCGGAGGAAGCGGGAGUCCAGGAUAUCAUGUAUUAGAGGCCUCGCUUGCAUCGACCAGCCCUUGGAAGUCAUAGUAGUUCUACAAUGCUGGGAGCAUAGGAAUGCUGCUUUCCGAUGCAUUACUGGAGGGUGGACGAACAAGAAGUCAAAGCUGAACUCCUCUUCCUUGCAAAACCAAAAUUUUAAUCAUCGGGUUGUAUUUGUUGUGGACUGUUAUUUGUUACUCGAAAUCUAUAAUGUUUUGUUCUAUUUAGCGAUGUCUGGGUUGUAUUUGUUGUGGGCUGUUAUUUGUGAUUCCAAAUCAGGUAUGUUGGCUGAAGUCAUUCUUGUAAUUAAGCCUUGGCAUUCCCGAGCAGUUUAAAUUGGGCUGGUUUCGUUUAAACUGUUCAAAUAAGAGGUAAUACCACGGGUUGGUGUGGGCUGCUUUGACGGUGUAUAUGGUUUGGAACCGGUUCAUACAUA